rnacentral:rRNA from 1 species
AACAGAGACCACGAGCGUUAUUCAUCGGAACUGGGCGUAAAGGGUGCGUAGGUGGAUGUUAUUGAGAAGGCUUGGUAGGAAUGUUUGUGUAUCGACACAAACCUAAUCUUGCAACAUAGAUCUAUUGAGAUACAUAGAGGUUAAUGGAAAGCGACGUUGAAAGGGCUAAAGCUCAAACAUGUCGAGUAACACCUUAGGCGAAGGCGGCGUCCUGGACCAACACUGACACUGAUGAGCGAAAGCCAGGGGAGCAAACGGG